ensembl:snRNA U6 U6 spliceosomal RNA
UUGCUUAGGCAGCAUAUAUACUAAAAUUGGAAUGAUACAGAGAUUAACUUGCCCCCUGCAUAAUGAUGAGAAAUUCAUAAAAUAGUCCAUAUUUUU